CCUGCCCGUGUGGCUAGUGGGGAUACAACUGGAUUCUUUUGUUUUCUGUUUUCCAUACCACCCACUCGCAUUCACUUUUUUGCGGGAGAACUCACACACCGUAAGGUUCAGCCUCGUGGAGUGGACUGUUCAGUGGAAGCUGGUGCCUGGGGUCGUACUGCUGUCCCCAGCGUCGAAUUCCGGUGUGUCUCAUCCCCCCCAGAGAAAGCUGUGCCACCAGCAGUCCCUGCCUGGCCCCGGGGAGCAUGAGGCUGCCGUCUGCAUGGACCCGCUGCUUCCGGACCCCCGUGAGCGGCCUUCGCGUCUGGCUCCAUUGACCUCAGUCUGUUUUCACAUUCGUCCGUUUUACAGGUUGGCGGGGAGUGUGAGCUGAGACUCCCCGCAAAGCCGUCGGCGCAGAGGCUGGCCUGUCACGGGCCACGGUGUCCGCCGUGCGUGAGGGUAGACACUCGUCUCAAACCAUCCUGCAGACGUGGCCGAGGGAGGUUUUGUGUCACAGGUGAUGAGUUCUGCUCUGAGUGGCGUGGGCGGCCGGGGGCUCUGGGGAGGGUCUUCCCCCUGGCUCCAGUGCCCCCCACGGCUGGGCAGCGCUGCCAGGCCCCUGCGCAGCUCCGCUCCUCCGACACAGGCCGGCCCCCACACACCCCCCACGGCAGGUUCGGGUCUGGAACUGCACACGGUGAGAAUGUGCAUUGGCCGCUGAACGCAGGUGGGGACCUUUUUGAUGUGGACACGUGAGCUGAUGGGGGUUUGGGGAGGGGCGGCGGUUGAGGUCAGCUUGAUGUCACGCCGAAGGAGCCGUCGGAGGUGUACGAUUCAGUUACUGCAGUGUUGGGUGGACACCUCCGCCUGGUUCCCAAACACUCCUGUCACCGCAGCAGGAAACCCCGUCACUCCCUCCUCCCUCGGACCCCAGCCCGGAAAGCCCUCGUCUUCUCUCCGUACCUAGAGACGAGACUAUUCUAGACGUUCCGCGUGAAUGGGAUCACAUGCUAGAUCCCUCCGUGGCUGGUCUCGUGCAUGUGGCUUUGUGUUUUCACGGGUUAUUCGUGAUGGGCAGGGGUCCGUACUGCGUUUCUUUCUGUGGCUGAACGGGACUCCCUGGUGUGGCCGGAGCCCACGUGGCCUGUCCCCCCGCUGACGGCCUUCGGAGCUUGGACCCAAGUCCUUGCUCACAUGUGUCUCCUUAGUCGUCUGGGGGCGUGGGGUAGACCUAGGAAUGGGCUGGCCAGCUCCUAGAGUACCCGUCUUUGAGGAACCUGAUCGAUGUCUUAAUGACCCAGCCUAGAGCUGUUCUCACGUGUCUGUGCUGAGUGGCACAGGGGCUUGGGCACCGGGCUGGGGACAGGUGGCUCUGGGUUGGGAUGUAAGUGGUGCCCUUAGCUUGCUGUGUGACCUCUGGUGAGUCGCUUGCCCUCUCUGUUUACAUACGCCCGACCCCUGCCAGGAACCUGCCUUUCCCGGCGCGGCACCUGCAGCACCAAGGGAGCUGGUGUCUGCGUGCCUGGUUGUGAAGUGUACAUUCAGCGGGCGCUCUGGCCCCUUUGGGGCUGGGGUCUGUUCUCCCCGGAGCUUCUUCCCACCCGCUCAGCAUCCACGGAGGCUCCGCGAGCUCCAGCUGCUGUCAGCAGAGAUGCUACAGUCCGGGUGCAGUGCGCGGGCCGGCGUGCAGGACGUGUGGCAGACGUGUAACACGCCCAGCUCGUGGGGUUCCUCAGCUAUACCCCAAGGAGCCUCAGCCCCGAGAAUCUUUGUAAAACUGCGGCGCUGAUGGGAGCAGCACUGGCUUUGGGGGUGCUUGUGGAUGCUGCGGGCAGGACCCUGGGACAUGCCACUCUCAAGAGCGGAGAGGCUGCGGCAGGGACGUGCUGCUGGGAGGUCCCAGGCUGGCCGCUCCAGGUGCCUCCGUGGCCCCAGAACUCCCACCAGGCCCCACCGACGCACUGUUGCCCUGGCUGAGGACCUCACUCUUUCCUGGUCCCUUGGGAUGCCUGUACCUGCCAUCUGCUUCCAGGCCAGGGAAACAGAGUGGGGACGUUAAAGAGGUUCCAGAACGGGACUUGAAAUAAUGUCAGAGUGAACUGGCUCCGCUGAGUUCUCUGAGUCCUUGUCGUGAACCGCUGGGCCCGAGGGGAGCGCCUGGGGCCUCCCAGGACUUCAGAGCGGGCACCGCUUUGUCUGUCAGACACGCACCUCGGAUUGAUCGGCUCCGUGUUCCAGGACCCCCUGCACACCCACUUCCGUCUACCUGGCACCAGGAUCCUGGAGAGGACCUCAGGCUGACUCAGCGUGUCCACCUUGACGUGCCGGAACGCCUUGCACACGGGGCUCUGCAGGGCGCUCCGGGAAGGGGUGCGGAGGGUGAGGGUCGGCCUGGGCCCGCGGCCCGCUUACCGCCUCCACUCCUCCUCCGUCUCCCAGAACUCGUAGACCACGAAGGUGAAGCCGUCAGCCAGCCUCACGGCCGCGAU